rnacentral:rRNA from 1 species
UACGUAGGGGGCAAGCGUUGUCCGGAUUUAUUGGGCGUAAAGAGCGUGUAGGCGGUUAGGUAGGUCCGUUGUGAAAACUCGAGGCUCAACCUCGAGACGCCGAUGGAAACCAUCUAACUAGAGUCCGGAAGAGGAGAGUGGAAUUCCUGGUGUAGCGGUGAAAUGCGCAGAUAUCAGGAAGAACACCCGUGGCUAAGGCGGCUCUCUAGUACGGUACUGACGCUGAGACGCGAAAAGCGUGGGGGAGCGAACAGG